rnacentral:tRNA from 1 species
GGUAGCUCAAUGGUGGAGCACUCGGCUGUUAACCGAUAGGUUGGAGGUUCGAGUCCUCUC